rnacentral:rRNA from 1 species
AGUGAACGCUGGCGGUAGGCCUAACACAUGCAAGUCGAACGGCAGCACAAGAGAGCUUGCUCUCUGGGUGGCGAGUGGCGGACGGGUGAGGAAUACAUCGGAAUCUACCUUUUCGUGGGGGAUAACGUAGGGAAACUUACGCUAAUACCGCAUACGACCUACGGGUGAAAGUGGGGGACCGCAAGGCCUCACGCGAUUAGAUGAGCCGAUGUCCGAUUAGCUAGUUGGCGGGGUAAUGGCCCACCAAGGCGACGAUCGGUAGCUGGUCUGAGAGGAUGAUCAGCCACACUGGAACUGAGACACGGUCCAGACUCCUACGGGAGGCAGCAGUGGGGAAUAUUGGACAAUGGGCGCAAGCCUGAUUCAGCCAUACCGCGUGGGUGAAGAAGGCCUUCGGGUUGUAAAGCCCUUUUGUUGGGAAAGAAAUCCUAUCGGUUAAUAACCGGUGGGGAUGACGGUACCCAAAGAAUAAGCACCGGCUAACUUCGUGCCAGCCGCCGCCGUAACAC